CAGUAAAUAUAAUUUUUGCUGUAACUUUUGAAUCUUAAGUUUACAUAUUGGUUUAAUAGUUAUUUCAGAGUAAUGCUAAUUUAAUAUGGUUAUUUGUUUAUCUUUUGGACUGGAACAGACUGUUCACUUUAUGUUUAAUUUUUGGUGGUACUGUAGCUUUAAGAGCCUGCAGCUUGGCUCACUAGAACGUGAGAUUAUGCAGAAAAACACCAGGUUAGCAGUGGAGAAACACGGUUUUCUUACCGUGUCCCAUCCUGUGUUUGUUUUGAAAGCCUUUUUUGUGGAUUAAUCAGCGACACAAUGUAAAUAAAUACAUUCUUGUUUUUUCAUCAAAACCUGGACUUGGACUGGAUUGUUCAAUGCAACUGGGAUUGGACAUGAGUAAACCAGAGAUAACUGUUAACUAGCAUUAGCCACUACAUCAGCGUUUACUAUACAGCUGUAUCUAAACGCGGACGUCUGCACUGCAGCGUGCAUACAUAAUACAUGCACGAUGCCGCGCCGACGUUCAUCCAUGUUCCGCGCUCUGGUCGGAAGGGAAUUUCUGGUGCAUUGCACGCUCACUUCCGCUUUUGAUGACGUAUCGUGCUCAGACGACUCGUCGACGCGUCGUUUGGGACAGCCCAACUGUAAAGAUACUGUUACAGUAAUCAAGCUGACUGAAAAUAAAUGCAUGGACUAGCUUUUCCAGGUCCUGCUGAGACAUCAGCCCUUUAAUUCUUGAGAUAGUUUUAAGUGCUAGUAAGCUGAAUUACUGCUUUAAUGUGUUUUCCAAAACUGAGUUCUGAGUCCAUCACCACACCCAGAUUUCUGGCCUGGUCUGCAGUUUUUAACUGUAGAGACUGAAGCUCGAGGCUCACCUUUAAUCGCCCUUCCUUGGCUCCAAAAACCAUUACCUCAGUUUUGUCUUUAUUUAGCUGAAGAAAGUUCUGACACAGCCACUCAUUUAUCUGUUCAAUACACUUUCCCAGCACCUGUAUAGGGCCAUGGUCUCCUGGGGACAUUGUAAUGUAGAUCUGCAUGUCAUCUGCAUAGCUAUGGUAACUUACAUUAUUGUUUUCAAUAAUCUGAGCCAGUGGGAGCAUAUAGAUAUUAAACAGAAGAGGCCCCAGAAUGGAACCUUGGGGAACUCCACAUGUAAUUACUGUCUGCUCAGACGUGAAGUUACCUAUAGACACAAAGUAAUUCCUAUUCUUUCGGUAAGAUUUGAACCAGUUGAGUACUGUGCUGGAUAGUCCCACCCAGUUCUCCAGUCGGUUAAGUAGUAUAUUGUGGUCGACUGUGUCAAACGCAGCACUCAGAUCCAGCAGGACUAGGACCGACAUCUGACAUAUGACCAAAAUCUGACAUAAAAUGACAACAAUUAAACACAAAUGACCACAUAUAACUGUAAAAUUUACAAAAUGUAUCAAAAAUUAAAAAGAUUUCAUGCAAACAAACCUGAAAGGAUAUAAAUGUACUCUUAAGAGACACAAUAUGAUGCCAUGGGGAGACUUUUACACAUCAAUAGGGACAAAAUGUUUUUAAUCCAUACAUGCAUCAUCUGUAAAUCAGAAGUUAUUUCUUUAACAAAUAACUAAAUGUCAUGACAUGGGGCAGGUGGAUCUAAUUACUGCUGUCAGCAGAUGAGAUACUCAUUGCUUUGCAAAUCAAGGGAGGAAAAUUUGUUUUAAGAGCAAGAAGCAAGGUCAAGACAAGGAGAAGAGAGAGGAAAGGGGAGACAUGAAGACAUUACUGCAGCUGUAAUCUGGACAAUCUUAAAAUUCUGAGAUUUAGAUAAAGAGAGAAGAAGUGGAGAGUUUGGAGAUGUCACCAGCCUGCAGACCAGGUAAGAAAUAUGUUUAAGAACAUAAGAAAAGCAGAAGAAAAUGGAUUUUAGUCUCUUCAGUGCAUACAAUAGGACAACAGAUCAGACCCAGGUAGUAUUUUUCUGAUAAGUUCAGAAACAAACAACAUCUUGUGUAACUUCAGAAUGCUGGCAUGUGCUGACAGGUUCUGAUGAAUGUGUUUUAUCCUCAGGUGUUAACGGGGCCUUGCUGUGCAUCGUCCUUUUAUCAGGGCUCUGUUCAGGCCUUCAUCUUUACAAAUUGAUUGAUGAACCAAAGACCUGGAGUGAAGCCCAACAGUACUGCAGAGAAAAGUUCACUGACCUGGCUACUGUGGACAACAUGGAAGACGUGGAUCAACUGAUUGCAGCUGCUGGCAGUGGCUACAGUGGUAAAGUAUGGAUUGGCCUGUAUGACAAUUCUAGCAGCUGGGCGUGGUCGAGGACAGAUGACGGCUACUACGGAACCAACAAUCAGCUGUUUCUCAAGUGGGAGAGUGGUAGACCAAAUAAACACAGAGAUGAGUGGAAGAUAUGCACUUAUGUAUUAGAAGGUCUAUUGCGAGACAUCUUAUGCUCCCAAGGAUACCCCUUUCUCUGCUAUGACAAUUCAGAUGGUGAGUAAAACGUUACUUGUUUCGGUUUCUGUGAUCCAGUAACAUGUAGUGCAUUUUCCAGACUGUGGUAUAAUUAUUACUUCAAGUGUGUGUUUAGGCCCCAAAACAGGAAAUGAACGGCAGCUUUGACUGUUUCAUUUGUCUUGUAAAGAUGUAACUCCUGUGAAGACUUGACUCUUUUCUUCAUUUGAUUUCAUGCAGAUUGGAUUUUAACCUAUAAGAACCCAGACCCAUUUUUCCUUAAAGGAUUUAAUGAGUUAAGGUCAGACAUAAAGCUUUACAAGGAAGAGACUGGGGCACUCAAAGUGCUUGUUUCACUGGUGUCACUGUGGGUUCUUAUGGGUUAAAACUGUUGGUCAGAAUAAAUUGCUUUAGUGUCUAAAUGAAUCUGACUGAACUUUCAAAAUUCUUGCCAGCUUCUUCUCCUCCAAGAUAUGUCUUCAACUCCUGGUGGAACCUGACAUGGGAGGAAGCUCAGAGCUACUGCAGGAAGUUCCACACAGACCUGGCCUCCAUCAGGAAUGAAGAAGAGAUGAAACUGGUCCAGAAGGCUGUAUCAGACUUCUGGGGUGGAUCCGUUGGUCUGUCCAGAAGAACCUGGUACUCUUGGUCAGAUGGCACAGAGCAUGAAUUCAAAAACUGGUUGACUGGAAACAUACCAUAUAACAGUGGAGACUGUGCUACCAGUGUGAUCGGUGCUACUGAUGCUGGAAAGUGGGUGGAAGAUCACUGUGACCAAAAACGUCCUUUCAUGUGCCACUACGAGAAAAAGCAGCAGCUUCGGAUCAAGCUGAGGGUUCAGAAAUCUGCAAUGGACCUGAAUGACCCCGCUGUGACGGAGGCCAUCCAGAAACUGCUGGAGAAGAAGCUGAAAGAGAAAGGGAUCACAGCAGGGUUCAAACUUAGAUGGGUCAAGAAGAAUGACAACACCAUCUUUGAGGAAGAGAAGGAAGAGAAGGAUGAACUGUAAACUGUAUUUACAGGAUAUCUUUCAUUUGUUUUACUUUGAAGGUUGAUGUUUUAGGUUGACAUGUUAGAGCCAACUAAUAAAUAUCAAACUGUCAUGUGAGACAUUUAUUGUUUUGGAGUAGAGCAGAGUCAAUUGUUCAGAAAACUGAACAAAUAUCUUAUUUAUCCUGUUGCUGUGUUGAUAAAUUCAUGGUAGGGCAGAUUUACAGCUGAUUUUAUGCAACAUACAUGUGAAAAUCUACACAUUUAAACUGUGAAAACUUUCUCAUGUGAAAAUGUUGUAAUGAACUGCAGAGACAUCAGCGUAUCCCUGUAAAGCUGGAUUCAUUUAUAGAGCAUGUUGUUGGAUAUUUCAGAGUGAUGUGUGAUGUAUUAGGAUUUAAUAUUGUAGCUUUGUAAGAAAAUCUCUGAGGUCAUGAGAGUUGUGAAGGAAAAAUGACUCUUUCCCCUUUCUAAGGUCAUAAUGGCCUUUAGACAGACAGACACUGCAGGAGAUCAGAUAUCGUCUAUUGUGAUGUGACUAAGCAGACCAGUUGUCUCCAUAUUGGUCUGUAAUCUAAAUCUGACCUUCUCCCAACUCCAAUAUAAAGCCAAAGAUCAGAGAGAAUCCUCAGAAGUGCUGCUGGCAUUGCUUGCAUGUACUGCUGCUCUGUUGGUGUCACUUCUCCUGAUAUCAGUAAACAUUACUCACAACCUAAGUCAUCUGAGUCUCCAGUGUGUCUCUCUGGAUCUGCCUCCACAUCACUGAACUUCAGCAACAAGAGUCCAGUGAAUAUUCUUCAUUGUGUGGUUUUUAAAUAUCUACAGAUCUGUAGCUGACUUGUAUCUGUUCUUUGUGUUAAAACUGUUUUUGCAACUGUAAUCAUCAUAACGAUUUCUGUUCAUUAUACUGGUUUGGUUUUCAAUAAAGUUUUCUGACAACAAAAAUUAUCACCAGUUGUAUCCUUUAAAAUGUAAAUGAGACUUUUCAGUUUAAUCUGAAUCUUUAUUUAAAUAUCCAGUCAUGCUUUAAACCCACAACUCUUUCUAAACCUGCUUCUGAACCAGCUGAGCUGCUACAUGAACUCUGACAUGAAGGAAAAUAUUUACAAUCAGAUGUAAUGAGUAAUAAAAAUAAAUAUAACAAAAUAUUCAUGUGUGAAAAUUAAAGUGUCGUUCACUUCACAGUUUACAAUCUGGUUGAAAUGAAGACUGAAUGGUUAGAAACUUAUUCUCUAUGGAGUUAUAUUUGUGCCACAAUCCUGAGCGCACAGUGUGAAAUUUUGAGCACAGAAAACAAUUUUGAGCAAAGAAAAACUUAAUCUGAGCAAACAAAAAUCUAUUCUGCACUCAAAAAAUAUAUUUUUAUAUUUGCAACUAUCCACAUACACACACAGUCUUAAUGCUUUUCACUCGGUUUUUCACUCUGCUCUCCUGUGGAUCUCUGCUCUACGUCCUUGCUACGUCUCUCUCGCUCUCGCUCAGCAUCUCUCUCUGCACACGCUCAAAUCUGCCUUCACGCUCGCUCAGCUCUGCACGGCGUUACAAAUGUGCCACAAUUCCAGCCAAUCACAGACUUCUGAUUCUAUCCAAUCGGGUCCCUGUUUCGGCCGCCUCUCGGAAGCGCUGUUAAAAACGAUCGCUAAAUCAACUGGAGUUCUGCUAUAUACGCUGGACUACGACAGAUUUUCGAGCCACUGGACCCUCGUUUAAUUAGCCAAGAUUAGCAAAGCUGUACCAUGUCGGAUCCUGAACGACAACACAACGGUGCACCACAUCCACAUGUAAGUAGUUGGUUUUGCAAACAUAUUUUGUCAUGUAAGCUUGCAUGAAAGUCUGUGUGUCUGUUUCAUUGAUUUGUAUAUUUCUAUUCGCUUGCUAAGGGACACUAGAUUUGUUGGCUGCUAGCUCAAUCAGUAGCUCUCACCGCAACAAUUAAUUCACAAACUUGACAAACAUACAAACUGAUGGAACAGAUACACUAUCUAAGAAUAAUGCUUUUGUUUUUACGUGUAAUAUUCAACUGUGAUCUUCUCACAGCUCACUAAAAUAGGAUGUGUUGUUUGACCAAGUUACUCUGUGCAAGGCCCUCUGUCCCUUGUCCACAUUGACACAAAUCAUAAACUCAUAAGGUAAAUAAGCUUGCUCAGACUAACUAUUUCAUUUAAAGAGGAAUGUCAUUAAAAAUACUUCAGUGAAGUUUAUCUUGUUUGUUACUUGGGAAUACAUUAUGGAGCCCCUAAUUUAAACAUGUCCCCCAAACAUCUUUUAAUAGAAUAUUUGCAUUCAAAAAAAGUUGUUGCAAUUUAGAACAGUCUGCAAUUAGCUGACACGACUCACACAUGAGCAGCCUUACUGAAAUAGUACUCCCCAUCUUGAACAGGUACAACAUUGCAGUCUUUGGUGGAGUGGAUGGCUACUCAAGGAAGGUCAUUUUUUACUCUUAAAUUUAUAUGACUGUAUGUGUGAAGUUUUGCAGCUAUAAAUCAGAGUAAUUUGAUCCUUAUGUAUAUAUCAGAAACUUGGACAUGGCUGACUUAGCUUUAUGAACAGCCGUUUAAAACUGUAGGUACUUUGAUCAUAAUCUUCAACCAAAGGGUACAGAUCAUUGGUGAUGGCUUUGGAAUAAGAAACACAGCCAAGUACACAGAGAUCAGUAUGCCAGCCUUUCAACUUGGUUUUGAGUAUUUGUUUUAGCUAGUGGCUUUCAGUAUGAAAUUAAUGAUAAUUAUAACGUAAUCAAACAUUUAAUAUCUCAUCUGGAUACAUUUUUACAUACAAGUAAUCUG